ACAGCCAUGGCCUACUGGUUAGGGCUUCGGGCUUGUAACCGUAGGGUUGCCGGUUCGAUCCCCGACCAGUAGGA
rnacentral:tRNA from 1 species